CUCCUUCCUUCCUUCGUUCCUUCCCUCCUUCCUUCCCUUGCUCCUUCCUUCCUUCCUUCUCUCCUUCCUUCCUUUGUUCCUUCUCUCCUUUCUUCCUUCUUUCUUCCUUCCUUCUCCCUUCUUUCUUCCUUCCUUCUUCCUUCCUUCCUUCCUUCCUUCUCCCCUUCCUUCCUUCUUCCUUCCUUCUCUCCUUCCUUCCUUCCUUCCUUCCUUCCUUCCUUCCUUCUUCCUUCUCCCCUUCCUCCUUCUCCCCUUCCUUCCUUCCUUCUCUCCUUUCUUCCUUCUUCCUUCCUUCUCUCCUUCUUCCUUCCUUCCUUCCUUCCUUCCUUCUCUCCUUCUUCCUUCUUCCUUCUUCCUUCUCCCCUUCCUUCCUUCUUCCUUCUCCCCUUCCUUCCUUCCUCCUUCCUUCUCUCCUUCUUCCUUCUUCCUUCUUUCCUUGCUUCCUUCCUUCCUUCACUCCUUUCUUCCUUUGUUCCUUCUCUCCUUCCUUCCUUCUCUCCUUUCUUCCUUCCUUCUCCCCUUCCUUCCUUCCUUCACCCUUUCCUUCCUUCCCUCCCUCUCUCCUUCCUUCUUCCUUCCUUCCUUCUUCCUUCCUUCUUCCUUCCUUCUCCCCUUCCUUCCUUCUCCCCUUCCUUCCUUCCCUCCCUCUCUUCUUCCUUCUUUCUUUCCUUCCUUCCUUCUCUCCUUCCUUCCUUUGUUCCUUCACUCCUUGCUUCAUUCAUUCCUUCCUUCUCUCCUUUCUUCCUUCCUUCCUACUCUCCUUUCUUCCUUCCUUUCAUCUUCUUCCUUUGUUACUCAAUGCAGUGAUUCCUGCAGUAUUGUUACGACUGGGGUUGAAUCUGCACAUUAAGUGGCAUUAGACUCACAGGUGCCUGCUCUGUGUUUGCUCUGGGUGAGUGCUCCCUCUCAUCACAUCCCAUAAUAUGUCACUCUAAGCUCUGUCUGCUGUUCUCGCCCCUCAGUGGCAGAGCAGCAGCAGCAAAGCCUUUACUCAGAUUGGUGUCCUCACUCCAAACUUCCAUUUAUCAAGUUACAGUCACAGAAAGCUGAGAGAGGCACAAGGGAGACUCUUCCAUGUAGGGCUGAGUAGACUCAGAAGCCAACUUUUACAUAAGUGACAUCUCUGUCC
rnacentral:lncRNA from 1 species